GACGAACGCUGGCGGCGUGCUUAACACAUGCAAGUCGAACGAAGUGGCGAACGGGUGAGUAACGCGUAAUCAACCUGCCCUUCAGAGGGGGCCAACAGUUGGAAACGACUGCUAAUACCGCAUACUGAAGGAGGGGAUUGCGUCUGAUUAGGUAGUUGGAGGGGUAACGGCCCACCCAGGCGAUGAUCAGUAGCCCGUCCUAGAGGAUGAACGGGCACAUUGGGAAUGGGACAAGGCCCAGAACUCCAACGGGGGGAGCCGGGGGGAAUCUUCCGAAAUGGGACAAAGGCCUAACGAGCACAGGCGGGGGGGUGAUGACGGGCCUUGGGGUGUAAAGCUCUGUUCAUCCGGAAGCGGUACCGGAAUAGAAAGCCACGGCUAACUACGUGCCAGCCGCCGCGGUAAUAC
rnacentral:rRNA from 1 species